rnacentral:rRNA from 1 species
CGUAACGCGUAUAGAACCUACCUUUCACUGGGGGAUAGCUUUUGGAAACAGGAGAUAAUACCGCAUAAGAUAGCACUACGGCAUCGUAGAGUUAUUAAAGAUUUAUUGGUGAGAGAUGGCUAUGCGUAUGAUUAGCUAGUUGGUAAGGUAACGGCUUACCAAGGCUACGAUCAUUAGGGGUUCUGAGAGGAUUGGCCCCCACACUGGUACUGAGAUACGGACCAG